rnacentral:rRNA from 1 species
AUUGAACGCUGGCGGCAGGCCUAACACAUGCAAGUCGAACGAGUGGCGGACGGGUGAGUAAUGUCUGGGAAACUGCCUGAUGGAGGGGGAUAACUACUGGAAACGGUAGCUACUACCGCAUACCAUCGGAUUUGCCCAGAUGGGAUUAGCGAGUAGGGGGGGUAAAGGCUCACCAAGGCGACGAUACCUAGCUGGUCUUAGAGGAUGACCAGCAACACUGGAACUGAGACACGGUCCAGACUCCUACGGGAGGCAGCAGUGGGGAAUAUUGCACAAUGGGCGCAAGCCUGAUGCAGCCAUGCCGCGUGUAUGAAGAAGGCCUUCGGGUUGUAAAGUACUUUCAGCGGGGAGGCGUUACCCGCAGAAGAAGCACCGGCUAACUCCGUGCCAGCAGCCGCGGUAAUUC